GCCCGCUGAUGAGAUCAUGGCAAGUUUUAUGAUCCAGUCAGACCAAGAGGUUGUUGUCUCUAGCUUGCUGUGAGAUGGGUAGUCUUGGUAGUGUGGUGGAGUUUUAUUGCACUACUGUAAGGGCCCAUCAACAGUUAACUUGUCACCGUCUACAACCUCUGUCCCCAAGAACAAUGGGACAGGACACGUACGCGAUGUCAAACAAUGUGUGGAUGUUUGUGUGUUGUAUGAAUGUACAUGUAUCAGCUGGCAAAAGGCUAUAGCCUCAAUAUAGUUGGUUUUGUUGGUAUGAACUACCCUUUGGUAAUCUGAGGGCA